GUAAGGAAUAUUGGUCAAUGGAGGCAACUCUGAACCAGCCAUGCCGCGUGCAGGAAGACGGCCCUAUGGGUUGUAAACUGCUUUUAUACGGGAAUAAACCUCUCUACGUGUAGAGAGUUGAAUGUACUGUAAGAAUAAGGAUCGGCUAACUCCGUGCCAGCAGCCGCGGUAAUACGGAGGAUCCAAGCGUUAUCCGGAUUUAUUGGGUUUAAAGGGUGCGUAGGCGGCCUAUUACGUCAGGGGUGAAAGACGGUGGCUCAACCAUCGCAGUGCGCUUGAUACUGAUGGCCUUGAUUACACUUGAGGUAGGCGGAAUGUGACAAGUAGCGGUGAAAUGCAUAGAUAUGUCACAGAACACCAAUUGCGAAGGCAGCUCACUAAGGCGUUACUGACGCUGAGGCACUAAAGCGUGGAGAUCGAACAGGAUUAGAUACCCGAGUAGUCC
rnacentral:rRNA from 1 species